AUGGGGUAUAAAAGAAAAAAAAAACCUUAACCAAGGAGAAGGUUGAGUCAGUUGUGCAAAGAAUCGUGCGGUGUUCAAUAAUUUAGUAGUGCUUAAAGAAGUACAAAAUUUUUUUUGCUAAAAAUAAUAGAAGUUUAAAUUUUAAAUUUCUGGCCUCGCUGGAAGAUAUCUGGAUGUGUGUGCUGAAAAUAAAAGUAAAAGGAUAUAUUAAAGAUUUGUUAAAUGAAGAUUGCCUGAGUGAGCGAGUGACCACAGAGUCGUUACCCAGGAAAUAAGACACACAGGGCUGGGAGAUAAAGCACACUCUUAAACAAAUCACACCGCACCAAGAGACUACCUAAGAAGUCUUGCACUAAGACUGACCGAGGGGCUUCAUUUUUGUGGAUGGUGGUUGAUACCCGAAGAUCCGAAUAAAAGUUCCACCAUAGCCGAAAAAGGACUACAGGCCCCAAAAUGAAUAAGUAUAAUGGUGUAGUAAGAAGAUAAUAUUUUUAAAACCUUAAAGUACUCGCUAAUGAUUUAAUAACAUACCUCAAAAUCAGAGUUGUAAAGAAUUGAAGAAGUGAAACAGGUCCUGAGAGAAGACGGAAAAAGUUAAGGACAAUAAAAUUAAUAGUAAAAGUACCUUCUGAUAUUCAGAUAAAAAAAAUAUACUGAAACUAAAGAACCAAAACAAAAUCACACGUAUCAAAAAGGAGAGAAGGAGAUAAUCUAAGUUAGGUUUAAGGAUUGAAUUUUAAUAUAUCUAAUUUUAAGUUUUAAGAGUAGGUUAUGUAUUUGUAUCGUUAGUAUAGGUAAAAAAAAAAUGUUAGAUGAGAUAUACAAAGUCAUUUGUUUUUAAAUAGGAAUUUUUGGUACGAAUGAACCAUCUCAUUACUAGCCUAAGUGAGCUCUUUUAGGCAGGAAAUUUUUCGUUAGAUUUACGGCCAACAAAUGGGCAAACCUUUGGACUUUGUAGGUCUCUGAGUUUUUUUCAGUGUAACAUAAAUAAUUUUUUGGUUUGUCAAUUUAAUGUUGUAUUUUUAGUAUACUUAAAUAUAAAAAUAUCAGCGUUCUAGCGCCAAAUAUGGAA